GGUGCUGUGGUGUAGCGGUUAUCACGUCUGCCUAACAAGCAGAAGGCCUCCAGUUCGAUCCUGAACAAUAUCA